rnacentral:lncRNA from 1 species
AAAAAUAAAAACAAAAUAUUAAUUUCUAUGUAAUAAUAAAAAACAAUGAGGUAGGCUUACCCAUAUCUCUCUCCCUCACGAGAUUCUCUGACUCAAGUCCCAGCGUUCACACAGAACAAACGCAUAACCAAACCAAACCAAACGCCAGCUCCCGCUCACCUGCAACUAAAUUACAAAACCACUCACAUUAACCACACUUUCACCAUAAUUACCACUACUAAUCCAUUUUUCUUAAAUUCUUACCCGACAAGGUAAGAAUCACAGGCAGUAAAAAAAAAAACCACCUGUCACUGUCUCAAAAGAAAUUAUUACUACGCGUCUCCGUACAACAACUGACCCGAGGUGGCACACCAAUCUUCCCCCGCGCCUCGUAACACCUGAUCUUUUUCUAGCUUUGACAGCAUUUAAGGCG